UUUCAUGCAUUGCCGUUGAAUGUUGUGUGUGAAAACAGGGUGAGGCAGGUGUGGGAGAAAAAGGAGAGAGAGGCAUGGAUGGACUCUCAGGAUUUAAGGGAGACAAAGGGGAAAUAGGAGAGCAAGGACCACAGGGAUCCAUGGGUUAUACUGGCGAAAAAGGCACCACAGGCUCCUCAGACAUCAUCGACUUCAAUGGGAAACUUCUAGAUGCUUUCCAGGUGAGUGACAUUAAAGCGUCAAUGAGACCAGAUUUAUGGUUGCAUCAUAUAUUCCAUCAGACAUGUGUUACUGAAUCUCAAGUUAGGCAUC
rnacentral:lncRNA from 1 species